rnacentral:rRNA from 1 species
AAAUUGAAGAGUUUGAUCAUGGCUCAGAUUGAACGCUGGCGGCAGGCCUAACACAUGCAAGUCGAACGGUAACAGGAAGCAGCUUGCUGCUUCGCUGACGAGUGGCGGACGGGUGAGUAAUGUCUGGGAAACUGCCUGAUGGAGGGGGAUAACUACUGGAAACGGUGGCUAAUACCGCAUAACGUCGCAAGACCAAAGAGGGGGACCUUUGGGCCUCUUGCCAUCAGAUGUGCCCAGAUGGGAUUAGCUUGUUGGUGAGGUAACGGCUCACCAAGGCGACGAUCCCUAGCUGGUCUGAGAGGAUGACCAGCCACACUGGAACUGAGACACGGUCCAGACUCCUACGGGAGGCAGCAGUGGGGAAUAUUGCACAAUGGGCGCAAGCCUGAUGCAGCCAUGCCGCGUGUAUGAAGAAGGCCUUCGGGUUGUAAAGUACUUUCAGCGGGGAGGAAGGUGUUGUGGUUAAUAACCGCAGCAAUUGACGUUACCCGCAGAAGAAGCACCGGCUAACUCCGUGCCAGCAGCCGCGGUAAUACGGAGGGUGCAAGCGUUAAUCGGAAUUACUGGGCGUAAAGCGCACGCAGGCGGUCUGUCAAGUCGGAUGUGAAAUCCCCGGGCUCAACCUGGGAACUGCAUUCGAAACUGGCAGGCUUGAGUCUUGUAGAGGGGGGUAGAAUUCCAGGUGUAGCGGUGAAAUGCGUAGAGAUCUGGAGGAAUACCGGUGGCGAAGGCGGCCCCCUGGACAAAGACUGACGCUCAGGUGCGAAAGCGUGGGGAGCAAACAGGAUUAGAUACCCUGGUAGUCCACACCGUAAACGAUGUCUACUUGGAGGUUGUGCCCUUGAGGCGUGGCUUCCGGAGCUAACGCGUUAAGUAGACCGCCUGGGGAGUACGGCCGCAAGGUUAAAACUCAAAUGAAUUGACGGGGGCCCGCACAAGCGGUGGAGCAUGUGGUUUAAUUCGAUGCAACGCGAAGAACCUUACCUGGUCUUGACAUCCACAGAAGAAUCCAGAGAUGGAUUUGUGCCUUCGGGAACUGUGAGACAGGUGCUGCAUGGCUGUCGUCAGCUCGUGUUGUGAAAUGUUGGGUUAAGUCCCGCAACGAGCGCAACCCUUAUCCUUUGUUGCCAGCGGUUAGGCCGGGAACUCAAAGGAGACUGCCAGUGAUAAACUGGAGGAAGGUGGGGAUGACGUCAAGUCAUCAUGGCCCUUACGACCAGGGCUACACACGUGCUACAAUGGCGCAUACAAAGAGAAGCGACCUCGCGAGAGCAAGCGGACCUCAUAAAGUGCGUCGUAGUCCGGAUUGGAGUCUGCAACUCGACUCCAUGAAGUCGGAAUCGCUAGUAAUCGUGGAUCAGAAUGCCACGGUGAAUACGUUCCCGGGCCUUGUACACACCGCCCGUCACACCAUGGGAGUGGGUUGCAAAAGAAGUAGGUAGCUUAACCUUCGGGAGGGCGCUUACCACUUUGUGAUUCAUGACUGGGGUGAAGUCGUAACAAGGUAACCGUAGGGGAACCUGCGGUUGGAUCACCUCCUUA